UGAGCAAUGAGGAUAAAAUUUCCAUCUGAUAACCCCUGACGACUGUAUACGCUAUUCUGAGCCAUGG
rnacentral:snoRNA from 1 species